rnacentral:rRNA from 1 species
CCUACGGGAGGCAGCAGUGAGGAAUAUUGGUCAAUGGCCGGAAGGCUGAACCAGCCAAGCCGCGUGAAGGACGAAGGUGCCAAGCAUUGUAAACUUCUUUUGUCAAGGGACAAAAUCAGGCUCGAGAGCCUGACCGAGGGUACUUGAAGAAAAAGCAUCGGCAAACUCCGUUCCAGCAGCCGCGGUAAUACGGGGGAUGCGAGCGUUAUCCGGAUUUAUUGGGUUAAAGGGGUACGUGGGGGGGCGGUUAAGUCAGCGGUAAAAGCCCGGGGCUAAACCCCGGCGAGCCGUUGAAACUGGCUGACUUGAGAUGUCGAGAGGUAUGCGGAAUGCGAAGUGUAGCGGUGAAAUGCUUAGAUAUUGCGCAGAACUCCGAUGGCGAAGGCAGCAUACCGGCGGCGAUCUGACGCUGAGGCACGAAAGCGUGGGUAUCGAACAGGAUUAGAUACCCUUGUAGUC